CCUAGUCUCACUAGGCUGGUUGGAGAGGAAGAGGAAAGGUCCAGAGAUGAGAGGCACAUGGAGAGACAGGCCCCAGUGGAGGUGAGCAGACCGGACCAAUGGCCUCUCCCAGCACCUCCGUAACAGCUGGAACAUUCAAAGCAGUUCCAUCACCCUAAAUAUUCACGUGUGCAUCCUCUUUGGAGUCAGCCACACCUUGUCUACCAGUCCCUGGCAACCGCCAAUGAUGAAUUGAAUUCUACAAUGACAGUGAGGCUAUGUGUCCCCCUCCCGCCGACCUAUGUGUCCUUUUGCCCUGUGUGGAGCGGAUGAGUACACACGAUUCACUCAGGGAGAAGGAGAAACAGCGGGACUCUAGAAACUUCUUUCAGACCCCUGAUACUGCAGCCUUAUCCACCAAGGCCACGCCCUCAGCGCUGGGGUUUCUCGGAGCAGUCAGCGCACGAGUUCAAAGGGCCUCAUUAGGAAGCAGAGGCUGGCUUUGAACCUGAAGUCUUCUGGUCCCAACCUCUUGAGCCCCUGUUAGGAUUACAGGCAGCACACCGGCCCUGGCUCCCUCUGGUAUUUUAAUUGAGACUAAAUUCCAUUGGAACUGCUUAUGGAUAGAGGGUGGCUUGACAUUCUCUUAAGAGUGCCGAGCUGUUUUUCACCCAAGUAAAAAGUCUUGUCUUUGCAC